rnacentral:rRNA from 1 species
UACGUAGGGGGCAAGCGUUGUCCGGAUUUAUUGGGCGUAAAGAGCGUGUAGGCGGCCCGAUUAGUCCGCUGUGAAAGUCCAGGGCUCAACCCUGGAAUGCCGGUGGAUACUGUCGGGCUAGAGUGCGGUAGGGGAGAUUGGAAUUCCUGGUGUAGCGGUGGAAUGCGCAGAUAUCAGGAGGAACACCGAUGGCGAAGGCAGAUCUCUGGGCCGUAACUGACGCUGAGGAGCGAAAGCAUGGGGAGCGAACAGG